UACGAAGGGAGCUAGCGUUGUUCGGAUUUACUGGGCGUAAAGGGCGCGUAGGCGGCGUGACAAGUCACUUGUGAAAUCUCUGAGCUUAACUCAGAACGGCCAAGUGAUACUGCAGUGCUAGAGUGCAGAAGGGGCAAUCGGAAUUCUUGGUGUAGCGGUGAAAUGCGUAGAUAUCAAGAGGAACACCUGAGGUGAAGACGGGUUGCUAGGCUGACACUGACGCUGAGGCGCGAAAGCCAGGGGAGCAAACGGG
rnacentral:rRNA from 1 species